GACGAACGCUGGCGGCGUGCUUAACACAUGCAAGUCGAACGGAAAGGCCCUGCUUUUGUGGGGUGCUCGAGUGGCGAACGGGUGAGUAACACGUGAGUAACCUGCCCUUGACUUUGGGAUAACUUCAGGAAACUGGGGCUAAUACCGGAUAGGAGCUCCUGCUGCAUGGUGGGGGUUGGAAAGUUUCGGCGGUUGGGGCUGGACUCGCGGCUUAUCAGCUUGUUGGUGGGGUAGUGGCUUACCAAGGCUUUGACGGGUAGCCGGCCUGAGAGGGUGACCGGCCACAUUGGGACUGAGAUACGGCCCAGACUCCUACGGGAGGCAGCAGUGGGGAAUAUUGCACAAUGGGCGGAAGCCUGAUGCAGCAACGCCGCGUGCGGGAUGACGGCCUUCGGGUUGUAAACCGCUUUCGCAUGUGACGAAGCGUGAGUGACGGUAAUGGGUAAAGAAGCACCGGCUAACUACGUG
rnacentral:rRNA from 1 species